UACGGGGGGGGGCAAGCGUUGUUCGGAAUUACUGGGCGUAAAGGGCGCGUAGGCGGUUUGCUAAGUUGAAUGUGAAAACUCUGGGCUUAACCCAGAGCCUGCAUUCAAUACUGGCAGGCUAGAGUUCUGGAGGGGAUAGCGGAAUUCCUGGUGUAGCGGUGAAAUGCGUAGAUAUCAGGAGGAACACCGGUGGCGAAGGCGGCUAUCUGGACAGAGUCUGACGCUGAGGCGCGAAAGCGUGGGGAGCAAACAGG
rnacentral:rRNA from 1 species